rnacentral:sRNA from 21 species
CAUGAUACUUCUGCCGUGGCGGCAGGCCUGAAAGACGGCAACAUGCAUCACCCUGAUUUGAGAAAGAAUCGGGGGCGGCUGUU